UCUUUUGGCCUAAAUUCCUUAAAUUAAAAGUCCUUGAUAACUCGUCCCUUCGCGACGGUCUUCGCGGACACAACACACAGUUCAUUAAAAAAUCUAUAAAAAUUAUUUCCUGACUGUCAGUUGAAAAGUACAAUUGAGUAAUGGGAGCUCCGCGAUGACAUACACGCGAGAAAAUCGACUCACUUUUCCCGCCAGGAAAUAAUAAAAUUGAGACAGAGUGAGGUACUUCGCAUAAGUCUUAAAAACUCGCCAGAAUUCUCCUCAUCAACAAUACUUCAGUUGUACAAAGAACAUCUUACCUGAUACUUACACGGAGAGAAUUAAAUUUGAAAAAUUACCGUGAGUAACGAUAGUGCGGUGACGAGCUGCAAUUCAUGAUAUUAUUAUUAAAUCUUUAUUACGGGAGAAAAGUUGAAUUUUCCUUUAAAUUAAAUAAUAUUCAUUGUUCCAAGUAGAAACUUUUACCGGAGUAUUCGGUGAGUUUUGACGUCCUAUCUGCAAUAUUGACUGUUAUAAAACUGAAAAUUUGGCAAAAUCUUUCAAAUUUUACAGAGCGUUACACGAAUGAAUACUCUCCGUUAAUUCGUCCCUGCAGUCAAAUAUAUCACGGCGAAUUUUACAGUGAAUUUUACGCUAAAUAUUACCGUUUAAUUAUCUCCAUGUACGGUCAAAAAGUUCGACUCUCCAAAAUCUCUCCAUUAAUUGUGUAUUUUCAAUUUUUCAAUGAAAUCAACUCGAAAGAGGCUCACUGAUGAAAUUUCUGAAAAAAAAGGCUCCAUUAAUCUUCAUCCUGUCGACAGGAACAUUGUUAAAGAACUUUAUCCUUGCGCACGGACAUGAGAACCACCCCCAGGGAGAGACAUCCGUGAAAAGAACGAAAUAAAGCGAUCGUGUGGGAACUGUAAAUUCUACGAAAUGUAAACAGCGAUAAAAUCAACAAGUGGAAUAGAGUGAUCCAAAAUAGAGUGGAAAAGAGAAAAAAAAUGUAUCGAGAGAUGAAUUUGGUGACGGAGUUUGGGCGAGAUUUUUUUUUUUUUAGACGUUGCAACCAUUCAGGCCUCGGGAGAUUUUUCUUUUUCCAUCAGCUCCUUGAUGGGCGGAUCAAUGAAACGUGGGGAAGAAAAGUGCGAGACUGAUGAAUCGGGCCAAAGACCUCCGGGGCAUCGAUACACACGCACCGUUUCCCUUACAAUCAUUGUAUCCGUGAAAAACGUAAGGUGGCAUUGUCGUUCGAACGCAUGAAUGGACGCAGUCGAACCCGAGAGCUCCGUCGAACAAGUGCACCCGCUGGGCGAAGCCUGUAAAUGCAUCUGCGAUGCGAGGAAUCUCAAGAAUUUUAACCGCUCAACGAGACGACCCGGUGCACUGGCUCGCAAAGCAAUUGUGCAAAAGUUCAACAGGAAUUCGUAUCGCCUGUAAGGAAACCUGAUUUCGAGCGUGAUUCGAUCGUUUCGGAGCCUUUCAUAUCACUUACUGCCUCGUUCUAGAACCCGCUAAUUUUCUCCAAUCAGUUUUUUUUCAGGAAACUCAUUCACAGGCCUGGAAAAACUCACUUUAUCCUCACACUACCUCGAACUGAAAAUACAUCGAUUACAGAAGCAAUCGCGGAAUGCUAAAUUAUUUAAUAACUUUUGGAAGAAUGCAAAUAAAAAGUGUCAAGAAGCGAAACGAUGAUCUUCUGCGACAAAGGGGCCGCGUCGUUUUUAGAAGUAAAUCCAGACAUCCCAAUUUCGAAAGUUCCAUCAGCGGUAAACAGCUUCGUGCGAUAUCUCAGUAAGUCGGGGAAAAUUGCCAGUCAAACGAAAGCUCAGCUCCUGGAGUAUGAACAGUCGCGUUUUUCCUUAGAAAAAAAAAAUACAAAAUUGCUAAAAAAAUCUCAAACAAACGCCUCAAAUUAUGCAAAAAAGUUGUUCCUCUUCACCUAAAACUGAAAAACCAAAUUUCAGAUCUUCUUGCAUCGAUCCAUAGAAAAGAUCCUCAUGACCUUUAUUAUUUUCAACGUCGUUUGAAGUUUAAUUAAAAAAAAAAAUGUCUUGAAACGUUUGAACCAAUAAUUGAACUUGGAAUUUGUAGAAAAAAUGCAAUUCAACAAGACAAUGAAACAACGCGAGAUAACGAACGAUAAAAUGAUUGCAUUUUAAUAAAGAAAAAUAUGAAUCUGUAUACGGAGCGUCGAGCCCGAGAGCGGAGGUGAGUUAGUCGAGGCAAAACUCCUUUGUAAAGGCGGGUACUCGGUGUAAUCCGUCCAUGGCAAGAAACCAGUUGAAACUUCGUAAAUUAUAAGAGAGCCGUCUCGAGCCAUGAGUGGGAGUGGUAAAAAUGAGAUAGUUGUUGGUGAAUAAAAGCAGGAAUAAUAAUCCAGCGGGAGGAGAACACGAAGUGUCGUCUGGACAAAGAGGAACGACGCGGAGGAUCUUGGUCGCCACGUGCGUUUCAUUUUUUUUCCCGGCUCAUUCUCACUUUUUUCAUCUUUUAUUGUUGAUGUCGUCCGCGCGGAGCAAGAGAGAUCGGCUGGAUUCCAGUGCUGCGCGUCUAACUGCACCCGCGUGAUGUGACGCGAGCGACUUCCAAGGGUCCUUGUUCCAGCAGCCAAACGCGUCUAGCAGAACGAUAAAUCGCUCGACGUACUGGAAGCGUUCGGGAUAAAAAAUAAAAGGAAAAGAAAAAACGCGGCGAGGUCCUGUUUUCGUUGCAGGCCACUCGAGCGUGUCGACUAAAUCUCGAGCGCACAAUGCUCUUCAUAAAAGUGGGUGGGAAAACUUAUAAAGUGACCUUUUACGACGGCCGCAUAUGCGAGGCAGCCUGACCAAAAGAACUCGCUUGAUCUACUUGUCGCAAUUCUCUUUUGCCUGCUCGCAUGUCGCUUUUCUUCAGCCUGCGGCGAUUCGUUGCUCGCGACGAAACUUCGGUGCUCCCCAAACGUGUGUCUGCUCUCGAAUCUCCUUUCAAUGGAAAUCCGACCAAGGCAGGAGCAAGAUCGCCUUUUGAUUAGUGGGAAUAUCGUUCUCGACUGUUACAUUUGGUAACAACACACAGGCACACCGAAUGACCCAAGUUCCUAGCACAAUGAUGGGCCAGAGUGCUUCUCGUCGAUAUAAAUUUCGUCAACGCCCAUCUUUUCAGACGUUUCUUUAAUUUUUCUCACGUUUCGAGGUUACGUAACGUGAGCCAAUAAAAUCCCAGAGACUUUCCAGCAUCUCAGUGCCAAGAUUUUUCGAAGAUUCGAAAAAAAAAAAAAAAAAAAACAUUGGCGAUUAAAUUGAUUUUUAAGGAUGUAUAUAAGGUCAAUUCCGCAGUACAUCUAUUUAUUUUUUAAGGUUAUGUCUUAUGUUGAAAUGUCAAUAUGGCGAAUCACUUCUGUUUGCAUUUUAUAAUGUUUAAUAAAAAAAACUAUGUCAUGUUGAAUCAUAAUUUACAAUUUUUAAUAAAAUUAAUA